rnacentral:lncRNA from 1 species
CUUGUGACCAGCUGAGCCUUCUCCAAGUUCGUGACAAGAAACCCAUAUUUGUGGCUCUUUAAGAAGGUUUGACCCUGAUUCCUCAAGGACUGGGACACACAACUGACAUGAGACCACACCAACCAAAAAUCAGAUUCAGGAAAUGAUGCAAGUUUAAUUUCUGUUUGAAAUGCUCAGAAAUAUGGCACCUUGGAAAAGGAGAUUUUCCAGACCUGAGACUGGGCUGAGUAUAUGACUACUCAUACUUUUGUCUGGCUCAAAGUACAGGUUGUAAAAGACUUUGAAAAGUGGCUUUGAAUAGUACUGGAGGCAAUCCAAAGCCAAAUUUAAUUUGAAUUUUCUAUCUGAGCUGAUACAAAUUCUACAAGAGUGAAAAUAUGUUCUAUAGGUCUUCUUAGGCACUUUACUACAUAGGAGGAGCUGUAAGUGCAGAAUUUGAAACUUCAGCACAUCCUUAACAAGGAUGCAACUGAAAUAAAACACUUCCAAGGUCAGUAUUAAUCUAAUAC